GGAAGGACAAGAUGGAGUUUUCAGCAAAGAGGCUAAGAAAAUACUAUAAAAACAUGUCUCACAACACUCUUUGAGAAAAACUCCAGAGAUCGCUUGGAUGUUCCUUCCAGCUCCUGAACCAAGCGGGCAGGCUAUUUCCGGUUGCUGCCCUCACUGUGAGCAGAAAAAGUCUGCUGACCCCGGACCCUGGAAUCAAGUCCUUCACACUAAGAUACCAAACUUCACAAAGAUAAAUCUUUUUAUGGCAUAUAGAAGAUUUUCCCUCUGAAGUUCCUGUGAGCACUGUUAUUUAUAGUGCUAUGAAUAGUAAAGCACUAUAAAGAAGCUCCCGCCAGAAAGUAGCACCAGCAAGCUCAUGGUGCAGUCUUACUUCUGGACUUGGUUCUCACCAGCAUUAUUAGGUAGACUUCGCAAGACUUUGAAGUGGCUGCUAUACAAAAUGGCAAGAAGAACAUUUGGCAAAGGAGUGAUGAUCACUCCUAAUGUUCAUAUUUGUUCAGGAUAUUACCUCCCAAAAUGUUCUCCAAAACAUUCUUUUGUUUUAUCCUCAAGACAAUCCGUUGACGUGAAAAUCGUCAU